rnacentral:rRNA from 1 species
UGGGGGAUAUUGCACAAUGGGCGAAAGCCUGAUGCAGCGACGCCGCGUGGGGGAUGAAGGCUUUCGGGUUGUAAACCUCUUUCGCUAUCGAACAAGGCCCGCUUAGGGUGGGUUGAGGGUAGGUGGAGAAGAAGCGCCGGCUAACUACGUGCCAGCAGCCGCGGUAAUACGUAGGGCGCGAGCGUUGUCCGGAAUUAUUGGGCGGAAAGGGCUUGUAGGCGGCUUGUUGCGCCUGCUGUGAAAACGCGGGGCUUAACUUCGGGCGUGCAGUGGGUACGGGCAGGCUUGAGUGUGGUAGGGGUGACUGGAAUUCCAGGUGUAGCGGUGGAAUGCGCAGAUAUCUGGAGGAACACCGAUGGCGAAGGCAGGUCACUGGGCCAUUACUGACGCUGAGGAGCGAAAGCAUGGGUAGCGAACAGG